rnacentral:ncRNA from 2 species
UACAUUCUUCGGGGCAGGGUGGAAUUCCCUACCGGCGGUGAUGAAGCUAAAAUAGCUUCUUAGUCCGUGACCCGUUAAUAUAUAUUAACGGUGGAUCUAGUGAAACUCUAGAGCCGACAGUUAAAGUCUGGAUGGGAGAAGAAUUGC